AACGAACGCUGGCGGCAUGCCUAACACAUGCAAGUCGAACGAGACCUUCGGGUCUAGUGGCGCACGGGUGCGUAACGCGUGGGAACCUGCCCUUAGGUUCGGAAUAACUCCCCGAAGGGGUGCUAAUACCGGAUAAUGUCUUCGGACCAAAGAUUUAUCGCCUUUGGAUGGGCCCGCGUUGGCUUAGCUAGUUGGUAGGGUAAAAGCCUACCAAGGCGACGAUCCAUAGCUGGUCUGAGAGGAUGAUCAGCCACACUGGGACUGAGACACGGCCCAGACUCCUACGGGAGGCAGCAGUGGGGAAUAUUGGACAAUGGGCGAAAGCCUGAUCCAGCAAUGCCGCGUGAGUGAUGAAGGCCUUAGGGUUGUAAAGCUCUUUUACCCGGGAUGAUAAUGACAGUACCGGGAGAAUAAGCUCCGGCUAACUCCGUG
rnacentral:rRNA from 1 species